UACGUAGGGGGCAAGCGUUGUCCGGAAUCAUUGGGCGUAAAGAGCGUGUAGGCGGCCCGGUAAGUCCGCUGUGAAAGUCGGGGGGCUCAACCCUCGAAUGCCGGCGGAUACUGUCGGGCUAGAGUCCGGAAGAGGCGAGUGGAAUUCCUGGUGUAGCGGUGAAAUGCGCAGAUAUCAGGAGGAACACCUAUGGCGAAGGCAGCUCGCUGGGACGGUACUGACGCUGAGACGCGAAAGCGUGGGGAGCAAACAGG
rnacentral:rRNA from 1 species